rnacentral:rRNA from 1 species
UAUUGCUGAUUACCCCGCCAUAGCAAACUCCGAAUACCGAAGAGUGCAAUCACGGGAGACAGACAUCGGGUGCUAACGUCCGGUGUCAAGAGGGAAACAACCCAGACCGCCAGCUAAGGUCCCCAAAUAUGGCUAAGUGGGAAACGAAGUGGGAAGGCUAAAACAGUCAGGAGGUUGGCUUAGAAGCAGCCACCCUUUAAAGAAAGCGUAAUAGCUCACUGAUCGAGUCGUCCUGCGCGGAAGAUGUAACGGGGCUAAGCCAUAUACCGAAGCUGCGGACGCGUGCGUUCCUUUAAGUGCACCAAGCUUGUCGAUGCGCAGCAUCGACAAAGCCACCAACAAUGAUCGAUGGUGGUUGUGCUAGUGGAUUUAAAGGAGCGCACGCGUGGUAGGAGAGCGUUCUGUAAGCCUGUGAAGGUGUCUUGUAAAGGAUGCUGGAGGUAUCAGAAGUGCGAAUGCUGACAUGAGUAGCGAUAAAGGGGGUGAAAGGCCCCCUCGCCGUAAGCCCAAGGUUUCCUACGCAACGUUCAUCGGCGUAGGGUGAGUCGGCCCCUAAGGCGAGGCAGAGAUGCGUAGCUGAUGGGAAGCAGGUUAAUAUUCCUGCACCGUCGUAUGAUGCGAUGGGGGGACGGAUCGCGGAAGGUUGUCCGGGUGUUGGAAGUCCCGGUCCCUGCAUUGGAGAAGGCGCUUAGGCAAAUCCGGGCGCGGAAUUCAAGGAUGUGGGGCGAGCGGCCUAGUGCUGCGAAGCAAUUGGAAGUGGUUCCAAGAAAAGCCUCUAAGCUUCAGUCAUACGAGACCGUACCGCAAACCGACACAGGUGGGCGAGAUGAGUAUUCUAAGGCGCUUGAGAGAACUCGGGAGAAGGAACUCGGCAAAUUGGUACCGUAACUUCGGGAUAAGGUACGCCCUGGUAGCUUGACUGGCCUGCGCCAGAAGGGUGAAGGGGUUGCAAUAAAAUGGUGGCUGCGACUGUUUAAUAAAAACACAGCACUCUGCAAACACGAAAGUGGACGUAUAGGGUGUGACGCCUGCCCGGUGCCGGAAGAUUAAAUGAUGGGGUGCAAGCUCUUGAUUGAAGUCCCGGUAAACGGCGGCCGUAACUAUAACGGUCCUAAGGUAGCGAAAUUCCUUGUCGGGUAAGUUCCGACCUGCACGAAUGGCGUAACGAUGGCCACACUGUCUCCUCCCGAGACUCAGCGAAGUUGAAGUGUUUGUGAUGAUGCAAUCUCCCCGCGGCUAGACGGAAAGACCCCAUGAACCUUUACUGUAGCUUUGCAUUGGACUUUGAACCGAUCUGUGUAGGAUAGGUGGGAGGCUUUGAAGCGUGGACGCCAGUUCACGUGGAGCCGUCCUUGAAAUACCACCCUGGUUUGUUUGAGGUUCUAACCUUGGCCCGUGAAUCCGGGUCGGGGACAGUGCAUGGUAGGCAGUUUGACUGGGGCGGUCUCCUCCCAAAGUGUAACGGAGGAGUUCGAAGGUACGCUUGGUACGGUCGGACAUCGUACCUAAAGUGCAAUGGCAAAAGCGUGCUUAACUGCGAGACCGACAAGUCGAGCAGGUGCGAAAGCAGGACAUAGUGAUCCGGUGGUUCUGAAUGGAAGGGCCAUCGCUCAACGGAUAAAAGGUACUCUGGGGAUAACAGGCUGAUACCGCCCAAGAGUUCAUAUCGACGGCGGUGUUUGGCACCUCGAUGUCGGCUCAUCUCAUCCUGGGGCUGUAGCCGGUCCCAAGGGUAUGGCUGUUCGCCAUUUAAAGAGGUACGUGAGCUGGGUUUAAAACGUCGUGAGACAGUUUGGUCCCUAUCUGCCGUGGGCGUUGGAAUCUUGACGGGGGCUGCUCCUAGUACGAGAGGACCGGAGUGGACGUACCGCUGGUGUACCUGUUGUCUCGCCAGAGGCAUCGCAGGGUAGCUAUGUACGGAAGAGAUAACCGCUGAAAGCAUCUAAGCGGGAAACUCGCCUGAAGAUGAGGAUUCCCUGGAGGCUUGACCUCCUUGAAGGGUCGUUCGAGACCAGGACGUUGAUAGGCUGGGUGUGGAAGCGCAGUAAUGCGUUAAGCUAACCAGUACUAAUUGCCCGUAAGGCUUGAUCCU